rnacentral:rRNA from 1 species
UACGGGGGGGGCAAGCGUUGUUCGGAAUUACUGGGCGUAAAGGGCUCGUAGGUGGCCAACUAAGUCAGACGUGAAAUCCCUCGGCUUAACCGGGGAACUGCAUCUGAUACUGGAUGGCUUGAGUUCGGGAGAGGGAUGCGGAAUUCCAGGUGUAGCGGUGAAAUGCGUAGAGAUCGGGAGGAACACCAGAGGCGAAGGCGGCGACCUGGACAGUGACUGACACUCAACUGCGAAAGCGUGGGGAGCAAACAGG